GCCUUGCAAAGGGGAGGAGCCUGCCCUCUUGAGCUCUUGUGGUGACCUGGGAAUCAAUGUGUGAGGUGGUGCUAUGUAGCAGGAACCCCUCUUGCUUUGCAAAUAGUUUUUUGUUUGUUUUCCUUUUUGCCCAAUAGAGCCCUGCUCUACUGACCCUUCAAUGUGCCCGUGUGCCUAAAUAUUCCUGGUCGUGUGAAAAGAACCCAGGUAUUAGCUGAACUAAGGAGCACAAUUCUGCAACAUUUUGGCACCCAAACACGGGGCUUGAGAAAUGAAUGCAAUUGGAGAAACUGGUUGUUUUACCAGGCGUUGAUUGGAAAUGUGUGCUUCCCUUUAAGCAGUCAAGCUCAACUUGCAGAACUGAUGGGAACCCCUUGGGAAAACUGGCCUCAAAUGUUUGUCUACACAGUCCACAUACAGGGUUCUUAACCUGCGGAAACACUUUCUGAAAAUGUCAGAACUCUUGAAAACAUGGAUGAGGAAAAGCAUAAGUACUGCUUUAUGCUUUUCUUAUGAAUUUUAAAAGAUGUAAUUUAAAGGUACUUUAAAGUGAUAUUUGUGCCCUUGUAACUGAUUCAAAGUAGACUGCUAAGGACAAUAAGUAAUAAGAGUCUACAAAUAUCAGUAAAUUAUGAGAAAAAACGGUCUAAUGGUACUUAAAAUUGCAUUGUGAUUUAUUAAAUAACAUUGAACAGCUCCACCUGUAACAUUAAGAUUCCAUUUGAGCAUAUAGAAAAUAUAUUUAUCGCAACCUGAAGUGAUUUGGAAAGUAUGCUGGGAAGAAAAUAUAUUUACAAAUUAGUCUCAGAGGGUAGGUAUCCUGUAGCCAGAUGGAAUAAGAAGAGAGGGAAGGGAGAUUUUGUUCAAAGGGGGAGCAUAAGCUAAGGAAUAAAGCCACAAACAAUGAUUAAAUUAGGUAAAGUGCAAUUAGCUGAAUAUUGCAUAAGCAUACAUAUGGGAAGAAGUGGAAAAAGGAGUGACAAUAUGAAGCUAAAGGGUUUGAAGUGUUCAAGAUAAUACUAGGCUUCCUAGCCUAUUCCGAGACAUCUUGUUUUAGAGUGCAAUAGAUAAGAACUCUAAGGAUGAAAGUAGGAGACAUGCAUUCUAGUCUACGUUUUGGUUAAUGGACUGAAAGUGAAAGAUGGACUGAAAUUGGGGGAUGGAAUAAAAAUGUGAUAGAAUAGAAAAUAGAAAAAGCAAUUAGCCUAAUGUCAUUGAUACUUAGAGAAAAUAUGGAAAAUAGUAAAUUAGUGAUAUAUAUCUUUUCUAAUUCACCAGGGUGAGUGAACAAAGGAAAUCGGAUUUAAAAGUAUUCAUGACAUAGAUGCAAUAAGGUUUCUCAGUCAGACAUAGCAAAUUGAGGGAAGGGAAGAUUUAGAGGAUUGGAAAAUGUCUUGCUUGUAGACUAAUAGGAUAUCAAUAAGCCAUAUGAGCAAUAAUUUGAAAUAGUUUUUGUAAAGUAUCAUGAAGGUAAACCCUGUUUAGAACAAAUUAGAUUUGAAGUACUUGUGACAAAUGCAAUUGACAAUGCCUUUAUGCAGCUGGAAAAUUGUUGCUUAGCAGAAAAGCUUGUGCUGGACAAAUAGAUGUCCAAAUUGAAUAGAUGUUUUCUUAAGCUGAACUAAUUGAGACAAAUAUCCUUAUUAAAUCAAAAAAUUAAAAAUUGAAAUAACUUACCUAUGAUAGGGUAAAUAAUGUUAUUAAUAUACACAAGAAAUAUGUGAUGUAUAUGUGUAUGUACAUAUGUAUACAUAGUAAUAAUACAUAGUGCUAUUUUUAAAUGAUAUUUUACAUAGUGCUUUUUUAAAUGAUUUUUCAAUCAUCGUUGUUGGUCUGUGUUAUUUUAAUCAUCAAAGCUGAUUGAUUUCUGUUUUUGUGUUUUUUUUUGUUUUUUUUGAGGUGGAGUCUCACUCUGUCACCCAUGGUGGAGUACAGUAGUGCGGUCUUAGCUCACUACAAACUCCACUUCCCUGAUUCAAGUAAUUCUUGUGCCUCAGCCUCUCGAGUAGCUUGGAUUGCAGGCAUGCACCACCACGAGCUGCUAAAUUUUUUGUAUUUUUUGUAGAGGGGUUUUGCCAUGUUGGCCAAGCUGGUCUCAAACUCCUGACCUCAAGUGAUCCGCCCUGGCUUCCCAAGCCCAGCUGAUUCCUGUUUAAAUAAAAACUUACAAAGAUCUUCCCACAAGUACUUUAUCUUACAAUUUACUGAACAAUAGAGGCAGUGAAGAUGUUUUUCAGAAAGCAAUUGUGAUCCUGACAUUUUCUUCUUAUAAUCCUGUGCUUUCCUCAUUUUUUUAUAUUAAAAGUAAUAGUUCUUGUGAUGGCAACUAGGAUUUGUAACAACAUGUACCCUCAUUUCCUGCAUGACCUUUUUUAUGUCACUUCUUCACAUGCAAAGUAUACUCCCUCAGUGUCAUUACAUUAUUUGAUUUUUGCCCUUUCCCUCACCUUUCCAUGUGUUUAUUUGCCUAUGCCCAUCUCCUAGUCACAUUUUAUCUAGUUAACGCCAACUUGACUUUCAAUGCUGUUCAAGAUUUACCUCAAUCUCAAGUGUUUUCUCUUUAUAUUCCAUACACGCUUAGCUUGGCUGCCAAUCCUCUUGGCUGCCAAAGAAUCCCAAAUUAUCUCUUUCAAAAAUACAAGAAAUAAAGGAUGGAGGAUAGGAAGGAGGGUGGUCAGGAAAGAACAAAGAAAGGAGGGGAGAGGAAAAAAAGAGAGAAAGAAAGAGAAUUAAAGUUAAGGAGGAAGAAUUUCACACUGAAUUAAAAUUGAUAAUAUUCAGGAAUGAUUUUAUAGUAGGCAUACAUUGAUAAAUAUUAGUUAAAUUAAUGAAUUAUUCCAAAAGAUCAUGAUUUGUAAAAAUUACCCUGAAGCACUUUAGGAAUAUUACAUUGAAAUAGGUAUGCAAUUUCUAAAGAAACUGGACUGCAAAAAUAGCCAUUGUGUGUACCUGUGGACCAGAAUAUUAUAUUUUGCUUAAGUUUGAAGUGUUAAAGUGCCCAACGUGCUCUUAUUUUAACCUAGCAAAUUUUCAGCAGAACUUAAGCUCAUAUAGUAUUUGAUUUUUUCAUUUCUCACAACUGUUGGAAUUCUGUUUUAUUGAAAAUUAUACAAUAAAAUGUUAAAAAAUCUUUGUUCCUGCAGUUAUGCAAUCUUAUGCCAAAGUCAAUAAAUUAUUAAAUUAAAAUCAAACCCACUAAGCCUAACAAUUUGAGAAAAUGAUUAUUAAAACAUAUACCAUUUAGAAGGGCAAUGCCUUUUUAAUAUUAUAGUGAAGACAACCCUAUCAAUUAUUUAAUACACCAAGAAUACAAGGAUAUAAAAUCUUUUUCUCUCAUAUAUCACAUUAUCUGAUGUAUUUAGCUGUGAUGACAUUCCAGAAAACAUCACUUUUUAAAAUUUCUAAGAUUUUAUUAUGUUGCUAGCAAAUCGAUUUUUUUCAAGUACUGUAACAAAAUCCCUAAAUGGGCUUUAUGAGAACUAUUUUCAGUGUGAUAUUAAUCAUAUUUUAUUUAUCAUCCAUACAUAGAUGGUAGCUUAUCUGGUAUUCCUAGUGUUUGAAGUGAAGAGUAACACACACACACAUCCCAAUACCAAUUUAAUUGAUAAAUAUAUAAUCAUUUGUUUUCAAAUAUUUAUGUUGAUACUUGCUUGUGUACUUACUUGUAAUGUAGGUCUGUAAAAGGGACUGUUUUCUUUCUGUGAAACUGAAGCUUAAAGCAGUGCUUGUCACAAAUUCAAAAUCACCUUGCUUUGUCAACAUUUUCAGAUGUUUUUGGCUCAGUCUGAUGACAGCAUCAGUGCAGUAAAGGGAUCUUAUUGAAAUGUUUUAACUAAAGAUAAAAUGCCACCACUAGGAGAAAAAUAAAAUCAAGGAAAUAAACAGAAAAUCAAUAAAUGUGAAAUGUAUUAUAAAUUUAUAUAAUAACAAUGUUGUAUGCUAUAAACAUCUCACUUUGUAAAAUUAACAAGAAUUCAGUGAGGCAGAUCAUUUUCUAUGUGUUCAGAAGUCAAGUCUUUGAUGGCUAAUUUUUAUAUUACUUCAUUACAAUAUCUCUACUGAAGCAAAAUAAUUGCAAAUCUUUUUGAAUGAAAUCAAUUUAUCUUUAAUUUUAGAUAAUAUUUGGUAUAGUUGGCAUAGUUUUGUCACAAAGCAUAGCUAACAUCAAUGUAGCCUUACGACUUCAAAUGUCUUUAUAGAUCUUUUCUGAAAUUGCAAAAUUUUACUUUGAAAUUAUUGUUAAUAUUUACGUUGCACAACCACAAAUGUAGAAAUAAAAUUAUAAAGUCUCCAGAUAAUGUUUUAUUUUAACCACACAUAUGUUGUGAUAGUUUCAAAUAAAUGAAAGCUCUACUGAUUUAUCAUUUUCAACAUCUUUACAUUAUUUAAGUAAUAUUAAUUAUAUUUAUGUAAAAAUACCUGAAUAGUCAUAACGAAAAUUUAAUAAUAAUGUAUAAUAUAUUGUUAACAUCUUUUAUUUUCACAAAAACACCAAGGAAGAAGCAGUGAGUAUUUUUUAUUUAUUUUAAAAAUUAACUUUUCAAUAAAUUAUUUAGGAAUGACUGGAAAUGUGCUGAGACAAAGAAGCAGUUGUCACUGUACACAAACAUGAAAUCAAUUACCUUUUGGAGAGUUUAUGAUGUGUGAGAGCUAGUGAAGUUACAUUGCAGAAGAGCAUAUAAGGAAAUCCAGAUCUGUAUAUAUUGUAGUAUAGUUUUAGUAUAAAUCUCUAAGAUUACACUUUAGACUAAGCCACAUAGUCAAACUGUUGUCUAUUUAUUCCUUUUGAAGAUUGAAACUCCCACAACUUUGGCAGACCAACUCCUCAGAAAACAUUAUUCUUUGACAUCAAUAUGUUUUGCACAAAAUUGAAUGGCAAGUGAAAGGCAUCAAAUGGUGAGAAUCUAGAAAAUAGUGCAUGUACGGGAAGGCUUUGCUCAAUACAAAUCACUUGCAUGGGACAGUCUUCUUUAGUGAGUUUAUUAUAUACGGGAACAGAGAGGUAAUAUGAAAUGGAAUAUGGAAUAUGGCACUAGCAAGCACAAAUAUUCAAAUAUGUGGAGGAACAACUGGAUGUGAUAAAACACUAUAAAAAAAAUAGAGAGAAAAAUGACAGUAGGAAAAAGACUGUAUAUAUUUUUUGAGAAUAAAAGAUAGUUUCAUUUCAUUGGUGGACAUGAGAUGAGUUGAUGCAGCAUGCAGGUGGAUACCAUUUUUUUCAAAGAAAAUAUGAACAGAGUCUCAAAUAAAUAACAAAUGUUUAUAUGUGGGUUUCAAGGACAGAGAAUAAUAAAAUAACCAAAUAUACAUAAUGUUCCAGUAAAAUGAUCCAUCAGGGCUUACAGAAAGCGUAACUAGAGAGAGACAUUAACUUGCAGAUGAUUUGUUUCUGGCUAAUGUUGUGACAGGAGUGUAGCAUUUCCUUUCUUCUCAGUUUCCUAUCUCACUUACCUUUUGAAAAGACAUGAUUCCAUAUUAUAUUUAUUCUGUUUCUCUCUUUCUUUAUUCAUUUACCCUACUUUACUGAAAAAUCUCAAACAUCAUAGAAACAUGCAUGUCUUGGUUCUCCAAGUUUGAAAGGAAAAUAAUGUAGAAAGCUCUGUUUUUUUUGCCCUGGCAUUUAUAUACUCUCCAAUCUCACUACUCCCAUAUCACUCUUCUACCUCUCUUAGAGCAAAAUUGCCUCUUAAAAAAGGACAUUGCACCCAGCAUGGUGGCUCAUGCCUGUAAUCCCACAACUUUGGGAAAUUGCGCCAGUGCACUCCAGUCUGGGAGACAGAGCGAGACUCCAUCUAAAAAAAAAAAAAAAAAAAAAGUACAUUGCUGAUUCCAUUUCAGCAUCACUCAAUUACCAUUCUCUAACUGUCUCUGAUUUGUCUUUACCAAAAGCCACAUCUGGCAUAAUUGGCAAAAGACUUUUUUUUUUUCCCCACCAUUCCAAUGAACACAAAAAUGACAUUCUCAACAUCAAAUCAAAUGAUCACAUUUUUAUUCAUAUUUUACUCCAACUGAAAUGAAGGAUAUAACUAAUUUGUCCAUUUUUCUUUAAGCACAUAUCUGUAUUCAUUUUGAUAACCCAGCACUCUUGAUUGUUCCCUUACUGAAUGUUUGUCUCUUAGUAUCCUUUGCCCAUUCUACUCCUUUAAAAAAACUGUUGCAGUAACCAAAGAGUUAUUUUUGAUUCCACUUCUUUGUCAAACUAAAGUCAGCUCUUUGAGGCUUCUGGAUUUUGAUAUUAAAUAUGUGUUUAGCAGUUCAAAUUUUAUAUAUGUAUAUUCUAGCUCAGAUCCAGAAAUCUAUUUCCUUCUUAUCAUUCUCACUUGGAUUCCUCAAGCAAUUUAACAUGCUCUAAAUAUUUCUUCCAUGUUUAUUUAGGUUUCAACUCUACAUACAGAAUAGACUAAUUUAAUAAUUUUAUACAAUCCUUGGCCUUUUACUUUAUAUGAUCUUCUACAUCCAAUAGAAGGUUGUUCAGUUAAACCUUAAAAACCUAUCGCACACUUUUUAAUUCUCUGAAUUUUCAUCAACACCACGGUAGAAACCUCCUCAAUACAGAGUUUUGUAAUAAUUGCUCUUUAAAUUCCCACCAUGAUAUGUUACUAUAUAUUCUGCUCAGAAUGAAAAGGUUCACUAUAAAACAUGGUUUAAAAAAACAAACAUUGAUUUCUCUGCUUCAGGAGUUUCCUUUCCUAUGGUAGAUGAAACUAGGUACAAUAAUUUGUUGUUUGUUUUGGAGAGCUGUCAAGGCAUGCUCCAUGGCCUCUGAAACUAGGUAGAUUGUAUCACAUACACUCCAGACCAACAUACUUGCUACUUUCUGAUUUGAUUGGAUUAACACGAUGUCAACAAUAUAGUGGAACAAUGUGAUAUUCUUGUCAGGUACAGUCUCUUUGGACUAUGUCAGACAAAUGGCAUGAGAGUUAACAUAGUCCUCGAGCUAAUUCAUAAAUGUAUAUUGUUACCAUUUUACAUAAAUGUAAUCGUUGAUGCCCUUAUUUUCUCAGAGGGGUGGGGGAAAAUUGCUAUUCCCACAUUAAUGUCUGUAUGUUAGUGAAUCUGAGUGAGUGCCAAUCUACUUGAGCAAAUAAACAUCUGGAAUAGCAGCUGUAAUUGGAUCUAUGAUUUUCUUGAAUUUGCAUUCAUUUACUUUUAUUCUCCAGAGUGCUUUUGUAAGGGUCACACUGGUAAAUCAAAAAGAGGAUGUAAUGAGGGAAUAUCACCUGUGUCAUUUUUUCAAGAAUAUCCAAUCUCAUAUUUUCCCCUGCCACACAAUACUAUAUUACUUUUGACACAAUAUGUUGAGUAGGAAGCAGCACUUAUUGAUAAUUCUACUUGCCCUUCUUCACUACUGCAGAUCUCACCCUACUAACCAAGGAACAAAUAUGAACAUUUUUUUCAGCUGACAGAAUAUAAUGUUUAUUCCAAUUAUACAUUUGUGAAAAAGGGAAGUGAAAAUAAGUCUUUUGAGCCAGUGGACCCAUUGUAAGCCCAAACUAUGCUAGGACAUUAUUUAUUACUUGAAGUCUCAUUAGCUGCAUUCUUAAAGGUGGAUCUCUUUGUAUCAAUCCUCAAAAUAUCAGGGUAUUAAAACAAUAAAAGUUAAUACUUAUUCUUUGUAUAUUUCUACUGCUGGUCCUCAAGGGGCUCUGCUCAUUGUAAUCAAAUAGGCACCAAAGGUGCAGCAGUCCCCAGCAUCUUUCCCUGUAGCCUUUGUGGUAUUGGGUAUCAGUGUUUGUCACGACGAAGGAGGACAACUUAGAGAAUUGUGCCCCUGCUGUUAGACGGAGUCUGACAAAAUCCAGACACAUAACUGUUUUAUGAGUAAAUUGCCAAUGCCAAUCACAUGAUCUAAAAUUAAUAUGGUGGGUACCAAAGGAGAGGCAGACUAUGUGUGUUAGUGAGAUCUGAUAGUGUCUGCCACAACACUUAAUAAUUUUUGGAGAAUUUUACCAUGGGCUUGACAUUUGAAUAUUCAAUUUAAACUACUUAUUUAUGAAAUAGUUAUAGGAAUAAUUAGGAACUUUAUGGCAACUCUAUGUUUUAAUUAACUUUCUAAGUGGUGAAAGAGUGAAUUAUUCAUAAAUUACUUCUGGAAACAGGACUCUUCUAAAAAGCAUGUAAGGGAACUUGAAGCAGCAUCUCAAUUUGUGCAAUAUGAUAAAGAAAAAAAACUGUGGGAUCCAGAAAACAAUACACAAUUACUUUUAUUUAUGGCUACCAGAACUUCAGGAAACCGACUAAUGUUUGUGCACAUAAUGUUUUUAUUAUGGAUCUAUCUGGGGCAUAUUGAACAUACAGUGCCCUCAAAAAUGGUCAGUUUUACUCAUGCCCAAUCCCAUAUAUUUUUUAGGGUAAUUUUUCUGGUCCAGUUAAGUUAGACCAGGACAUUUUCACUUGACAAAUCUGAGUAAACUUCUCUGGAAAAAAUUGUUUUUGACCAUUCGCCUAGAAUGAAUCUCUGGGUAAGGAAGAUGCAUAUAGUCGUAUAAUUUACUGUAGUUAUUUUGACACCUUUUCUUAACGACACACCACAGAUUUAUUGCUGGAUAUUUUUUUCCUUCCUAAGCCACUUGCCAUAUAGUUCUACUCUUCUCUAGCUCUAGGGAGGCUUCCUCAUACAGACUAGGUCAACAGAUUCCAUUCCACUGGCUCGUGGAUGGGUUUGGCUACCGAGAAGCAGUUAAGAGAAGAUCAGAAUUAUAGGGAGCAGGGAGUAGGAAAAGGUGAAGAAUUUAUUUUCCUGCUUCCCUGCUGAUCCCCUCCCAGGCUCCUACAUGUUGGUCACAUUUCUCUACCAAAUGGUAGUUCCUGUGGGGUUCUUGUAAAUUCACCUUCCUCUUUCCAUAGAGACAAAAGCUCCCUGCUUUCAUUCACCUUCGAGUACUGCAAACUUUUUUUUUUUUUUUUUUUUUCUGAGAUGGAGUCUCACUCUGUCGCCCAGGCUGGAGUGCAGUGGCACGAUCUCGACUCACUGCAAGCCCCGCCUCCCGGGUUCCCGCCAUUCUCCUGCCUCAGCCUCCCGAGUAGCUGGGACUACAGGCGUCCGCCACCAUGCCCGACUAAUUUUUUGUAUUUUUAGUAGAGACGGGGUUUCAUCGUGUUAGCCAGAAUGGUCUCGAUCUCCUGACCUCGUGAUUCGCCAGCCUCGGCCUCCCAAAGUGCUGGGAUUACAGGCGUGAGCCACCACGCCCAGCCGGGUACUGCAAACAUUUAAACAUUUUAAACGUUCCUCGAAGACAAUUUUUCCUUCCAGGACAAUGACUGAUACACCUUCUUAAGCUUACAACUGCAAAUAAGUCUCUGCCUAACAUAGCAUCUCUGCUAUACAGCCGGGAAUGUACUCCUACUCAAUGGGAUGGCUACACAAUGAAAUCAAUGAGUGACUGCACUUAAAAAAUGCCCAUUACAAUAUGAGCUAUGUCUUCCUGAAGGUGGCCUUUUAAUGUCAAAUGAGAUAAAGUAUGUAAAAAUGUUUUAUAAAUUUUAAAAUGUGAUAAAUAUUAUUUUGUGUGGAUGAUAAAUGUAGCUAUGGGUUCUAUUGACUGAAAGAUAAGCACUGCUCCUUCAUGAAUCAAACCAUUAAUUCCUGAUGGUGUUUAAUUAUUAUCGAACAUAUUUUUCUUCACAGGAGCUGUCAUUUAAAUGUGCUUGCCAACUAGCUUGUUUAUCAAAACAUUCCAGACCCUUUCAAAUUCUCAUUUACAUUGUUUCUUGUUUACCACACCCAUAAAUUUGUAUUACCAGCAUAUUUAACUAUCCGGCUAUUUUGGAGAUUGAAAAAAGAAGACCUGAUUUAUCAUGUGCAAUAUCUCACACAUCUGUCAUUUCUAUUCUACCGCAAUUCGAUGGAGUCUUGUUCUGUGGUCCAGGCUAGAGGGCAGUGGCAUGAUCUCGGCUCACUACAAGCUCUGCCUCCCGGGUUCACGCCAUUCUCCUGCCUCAGCCUCCUGAGUAGCUGGGACUACAGGCGCCCGCCACCACGCCUGGCUAAUUUUUUGUAUAUUUACUAGAGAUGGCUAGUGUUAGCCAAGAUGGUCUCGAUCUCCUGACCUCGUGAUCUGCCCACCUCAGCCUGCCAAAGUGCUGGGAUUACUGGCGUGAGCCACCGUGCCUGGCCAGCAUCCUCUAAUUAUUAUUCAUAGUUUGUGAAUUUAGGCCUACGUGAAUAAUAAUAUAAUAUUUACUAUGAUGUUACUAUCUACCAACCUUAUUUUUCUUUUCUAUAAAAUAGGAGCCAAAAUAAUAUUUAUGUCAUACCUUAUGAAGUUAAAAUAAAAUAUAACGAAUGAGGGGCUUAACAA
ensembl:lncRNA PURPL p53 upregulated regulator of p53 levels